rnacentral:rRNA from 1 species
UACAGAGGGUGCGAGCGUUAAUCGGAAUUACUGGGCGUAAAGCGUGCGUAGACGGCUAUCUAAGUCGGGUGUGAAAGCCCCGGGCUCAACCUGGGAAUUGCAUUCGAGACUGAAUAGCUAGGGUGCGGUAGAGGUAAGCGGAAUUCCUGGUGUAGCGGUGAAAUGCGUAGAUAUCAGGAGGAACACCUGUGGUGUAGACAGCUUACUGGACCAUUUCUGACGCUGAGACACGAAAGCGUGGGUAGCAAACAGG